UACGAACUGUGCGAACGUUACUCGGAAUCACUGGGCUUACAGGGUGCGUAGGUGGCUUGAUAAGCAGGGUGUGAAAUCCCUCGGCUCAACCGAGGAACUGCGCUCUGAACUGUCGAGCUAGAGUAUGCUAGAGGUGAAUGGAACAUCCAGUGGAGCGGUGAAAUGUGUUGAUAUUGGAUGGAACACCAGAGGCGAAGGCGAUUCACUGGGGCAUAACUGACACUGAGGCACGAAAGCCAGGGGAGCAAACGGGAUUAGAUACCCCGGUAGUCCUGGCCGUAAACGAUGAGAACUGAGCGGGGGGAGGCUUGCCUUCCCCGGCUGUAGCGAAAGCGUUAAGUUCUCCGCCUGGGGAGUAUGGUCGCAAGGCUG
rnacentral:rRNA from 1 species